GACGAACGCUGGCGGCGUGCUUAACACAUGCAAGUCGAACGGAAAGGCCCUGCUUGCAGGGUCCUCGAGUGGCGAACGGGUGAGUAACACGUGGGUGAUCUGCCCUGCACUUCGGGAUAAGCCUGGGAAACUGGGUCUAAUACCGGAUAGGAGCCAUUUUUAGUGUGAUGGUUGGAAAGUUUUUUCGGUGUAGGAUGAGCUCGCGGCCUAUCAGCUUGUUGGUGGGGUAAUGGCCUACCAAGGCGGCGACGGGUAGCCGGCCUGAGAGGGUGGACGGCCAAAUUGGGACUGAGAAACGGCCCAAACCCCUACGGGAGGCAGCAGGGGGGAAUAUUGCAAAAGGGGCGGAAGCCUGAGGGAGGGACGCCGGGGGGGGGAUGACGGCCUUCGGGUUGUAAACCCCUUUCGCGAGGGACGAAGCUUUUUGGGAGGGUACCGAGAAAAGAAGACCCGGCGAACUAAGG
rnacentral:rRNA from 1 species